rnacentral:lncRNA from 1 species
GCCACCGAUUCCUAUCGCCCUCCUCCCCUCGCGAUUCCCUACCCGCCGCCCUCCAUCCCCGGCCUCGCGCCGCCGCCUCCCUCGCCGCCAAUCCCCAUCGACCGUCACCCGCACGUCUUCCGCGGCCACGCCACCGUCGAUCCCCGUCGAGCACGACCACGCCUCACGCCGAUCCUCCAUCGCGCGCCGCCACCGAUCCCCUCCCUCGCGACGCCGCCUCCCUCGUCGCCGAUCCCAUCGACCGUCGCCCGCACGUCUUCCGCGGCCACGCCACCGCCGAUCCCCAUCGACCACGACCACGCCGCCCGCCGAUCCGUGCGCGAAAAGGAUUCCAAGGUUCUCAACACAUAGGCUUUCAACUGGGAAAACAAGAACGGCUGGAAGAAGCAUUGCCGCGGGUUGCUACUUGGUCUUUUAGGUCACAAUUCUGGUGUUGGGAGUUGUUUAUUUAUUAAUGAUCAGCGAGUCUCUUGUUGCUACAACAGAAUGGUCUUGUGAUACAGACGAGAAGUCUCCUUCCAUUAACAAUAACACUGGUUGCAC